rnacentral:rRNA from 1 species
CCGAGUUUACAACUCCCAAACCCAAUGUGAACGUUACCAAACUGUUGCCUCGGCGGGAUCUCUGCCCCGGGUGCGUCGCAGCCCCGGACCAAGGCGCCCGCCGGAGGACCAACCAAAACUCUUUUUGUAUACCCCCUCGCGGGUUUUUUAUAAUCUGAGCCUUCUCGGCGCCUCUCGUAGGCGUUUCGAAAAUGAAUCAAAACUUUCAACAACGGAUCUCUUGGUUCUGGCAUCGAUGAAGAACGCAGCGAAAUGCGAUAAGUAAUGUGAAUUGCAGAAUUCAGUGAAUCAUCGAAUCUUUGAACGCACAUUGCGCCCGCCAGUAUUCUGGCGGGCAUGCCUGUCCGAGCGUCAUUUCAACCCUCGAACCCCUCCGGGGGGUCGGCGUUGGGGAUCGGCCCUGCCUCUUGGCGGUGGCCGUCUCCGAAAUACAGUGGCGGUCUCGCCGCAGCCUCUCCUGCGCAGUAGUUUGCACACUCGCAUCGGGAGCGCGGCGCGUCCACAGCCGUUAAACACCCAACUUCUGAAAUGUUGACCUCGGAUCAGGUAGGAAUACCCGCUGAACUUAAGCAUACUA